rfam:Oryza rufipogon genomic scaffold, chr04
UUUAAGUGCAACCAUGAGUUUCCACGCCCAACUUUAAUUAUCUGUCUUAUUUGAAAAAUUUUUAUAAUUAGUAUUUUUAUUGUUAUGGGAUGAUAAAGUAUGAAUAGUACUUUACUCGUGACUUAUAUUUUUAUUUUUUUUAAAAAAAAUUAAAUAAGAUGGACGAUCAAAGUUAGACACGUAAAGCCUUACAUAGCUGCACUUAAG